rnacentral:rRNA from 1 species
UGGGGAAACCCAGUGUGAUUCGUCACACUAUCAUUAACUGAAUCCAUAGGUUAAUGAGGCGAACCGGGGGAACUGAAACAUCUAAGUACCCCGAGGAAAAGAAAUCAACCGAGAUUCCCCCAGUAGCGGCGAGCGAACGGGGAGGAGCCCAGAGCCUGAAUCAGCAUGUGUGUUAGUGGAAGCGUCUGGAAAGGCGCGCGAUACAGGGUGACAGCCCCGUACACAAAAGCGCAUGUGCUGUGAGCUCGAUGAGUAGGGCGGGACACGUGGUAUCCUGUCUGAAUAUGGGGGGACCAUCCUCCAAGGCUAAAUACUCCUGACUGACCGAUAGUGAACCAGUACCGUGAGGGAAAGGCGAAAAGAACCCCGGCGAGGGGAGUGAAAAAGAACCUGAAACCGUGUACGUACAAGCAGUGGGAGCACAGGUUUACC